rnacentral:rRNA from 1 species
GACGAACGCUGGCGGCGUGCCUAAUACAUGCAAGUUGAGCGAUGAAGCUUGGUGCUUGCACCAAUUUGAAGAGCAGCGAACGGGUGAGUAACGCGUGGGGAAUCUGCCUUUGAGCGGGGGACAACAUUUGGAAACGAAUGCUAAUACCGCAUAACAACUUUAAACAUAAGUUUUAAGUUUGAAAGAUGCAAUUGCAUCACUCAAAGAUGAUCCCGCGUUGUAUUAGCUAGUUGGUGAGGUAAAGGCUCACCAAGGCGAUGAUACAUAGCCGACCUGAGAGGGUGGACGGGCAACUUGGGACUGAGACACGGCCCAAACUCCUACGGGAGGCAGCAGUAGGGAAUCUUCGGCAAUAGACGAAAGUCUGACCGGGCAACGCCGCGUGAGUGAAGAAGGUUUUCGGAUCGUAAAACUCUGUUGGUAGAGAAGAACGUUGGUGAGAGUGGAAAGCUCAUCAAGUGACGGUAACUACCCAGAAAGGGACGGCUAACUACGUG